UACGUAGGUGGCAAGCGUUGUCCGGAUUUAUUGGGCGUAAAGCGAGCGCAGGCGGUUUCUUAAGUCUGAUGUGAAAGCCCCCGGCUCAACCGGGGAAGGUCAUUGGAAACUGGGGAACUUGAGUGCAGAAGAGGAGAGUGGAAUUCCACGUGUAGCGGUGAAAUGCGUAGAUAUAUGGAGGAACACCGGUGGCGAAAGCGGCUCUCUAGUCUGUAACUGACGCUGAGGCUCGAAAGCGUGGGUAGCAAACAGG
rnacentral:rRNA from 1 species